AUGGAUGUGAUGAUUAUUUCCCCAGAUGAUCGAAGGUGAACAUACUGUGCGAAUUUUGUUUUCCCUUUGGGGAAAAUCAAGCCAAAUAAUCUGAUCCAU
rnacentral:snoRNA from 1 species